GCAAAAGAGGGGCAAGGGGGGGCGGGAAGACGGAUGUGGCAAGGGUUGUCGGGAUUUACUGGGCGUAAAGAGCGCGCAGGCGGGCGUUUAAGUCGAAUGUGAAAGCCCCCGGCUCAACUGGGGAGGGUCAUUCGAUACUGAUCGACUUGAAGGCAGGAGAGAGAAGUGGAAUUCCCGGUGUAGUGGUGAAAUGCGUAGAUAUCGGGAGGAACACCAGUGGCGAAGGCGACUUCUUGGCCUGUUCUUGACGCUGAGGCGCGAAAGCUGGGGGAGCAAACGGGAUUAGAUACCCGGGUAGUC
rnacentral:rRNA from 1 species